CAGUCGCCGCGGGAAUACAGAGGGUGCGAGCGUUAAUCGGAUUUACUGGGCGUAAAGCGUGCGUAGGCGGCUUUUUAAGUCGGAUGUGAAAUCCCUGAGCUUAACUUAGGAAUUGCAUUCGAUACUGGGAAGCUAGAGUAUGGGAGAGGAUGGUAGAAUUCCAGGUGUAGCGGUGAAAUGCGUAGAGAUCUGGAGGAAUACCGAUGGCGAAGGCAGCCAUCUUGCCUAAUACUGACGCUGAGGUACGAAAGCAUGGGGAGCAAACAGGAUUAGAUACCCCCGUAGUCCCUGUCUCUUAUAC
rnacentral:rRNA from 1 species